GACGAACGCUGGCGGCACGCUUAACACAUGCAAGUCUAACGAGAGAAGAGAAGCUUGCUUUUCUGAUCUAGUGGCGGACGGGUGAGUAACACGUGAGCAAUCUUCCUUUCAGAGGGGGAUACCGAUUGGAAACGAUCGUUAAUACCGCAUAACAUAAUUGAACCGCAUGAUUUGAUUAUCAAAGAUUUAUCGCUGAAAGAUGAGCUCGCGUCUGAUUAGCUAGUUGGUAAGGUAACGGCUUACCAAGGCGACGAUCAGUAGCCGGACUGAGAGGUUGAUCGGCCACAUUGGGACUGAGACACGGCCCAGACUCCUACGGGAGGCAGCAGUGGGGAAUAUUGCACAAUGGAGGAAACUCUGAUGCAGCGAUGCCGCGUGAGGGAAGAAGGUUUUAGGAUUGUAAACCUCUGUCUUCAGGGACGAAAAAAGACGGUACCUGAGGAGGAAGCUCCGGCUAACUACGUGCCAGCAGCCGCGGUAAUACGUAGGGAGCGAGCGUUGUCCGGAAUUACUGGGUGUAAAGGGAGCGUAGGCGGGAUCGCAAGUCAGAUGUGAAAACUAUGGGCUUAACCCAUAAACUGCAUUUGAAACUGUGGUUCUUGAGUGAAGUAGAGGUAAGCGGAAUUUCCUAGUGUAGCGGUGAAAUGCGUAGAUAUUAGGAGGAACAUCAGUGGCGAAGGCGGCUUACUGGGCUUUAACUGACGCUGAGGCUCGAAAGCGUGGGGAGCAAACAGGAUUAGAUACCCUGGUAGUCCACGCCGUAAACGAUGAUUACUAGGUGUGGGGGGACUGACCCCUUCCGUGCCGCAGCAAACGCAAUAAGUAAUCCACCUGGGGAGUACGACCGCAAGGUUGAAACUCAAAGGAAUUGACGGGGGCCCGCACAAGCAGUGGAGUAUGUGGAUUAAUUCGAAGCAACGCGAAGAACCUUACCAGGUCUUGACAUCGUAUGCAUAGCUCAGAGAUGAGUGAAAUCUCUUCGGAGACAUAUAGACAGGUGGUGCAUGGUUGUCGUCAGCUCGUGUCGUGAGAUGUUGGGUUAAGUCCCGCAACGAGCGCAACCCUUACUGUUAGUUGCUACGCAAGAGCACUCUAGCAGGACUGCCGUUGACAAAACGGAGGAAGGUGGGGAUGACGUCAAAUCAUCAUGCCCCUUAUGACCUGGGCCUCACACGUACUACAAUGGCUGUCAACAGAGGGAUGCAAAGCCGCGAGGUGGAGCGAACCCCUAAAAGCAGUCUUAGUUCGGAUUGUAGGCUGCAACCCGCCUACAUGAAGUCGGAAUUGCUAGUAAUCGCAGAUCAGCAUGCUGCGGUGAAUACGUUCCCGGGCCUUGUACACACCGCCCGUCACGCCAUGGGAGUCGGUAACACCCGAAGCCAAUAGUCUAACCGCAAGGAGGACGCAGUCGAA
rnacentral:rRNA from 1 species